rnacentral:tRNA from 2 species
GGGGCGUUAGCGCAGUUGGUAGCGCGCUUCAAUGGCAUUGAAGAGGUCACCGGUUCGACCCCGGUACGCUCCACCA